AACAUUUGAUUGUCUGUUGGCUGGUGUGUUUCAUGCAAAGUGAUACACAUAAUCAUGAUUUCUUUUCAUUUUCUCAUCUUCUUAUACCAGAAGACUGCAUAGAUGUUGUACAUGGCAUGUUAAAUAUUAACGUGUAUUUUUUGUAUUCCUAUUUUCUUUGUAACCAUAAGCUUUUGAUACUUAGAUUGCUGAUGAGUAAAUAAUGUUAUUUUAAACGUUAUAUUCUGUGCUAUCUUUGAUAUAU
rnacentral:misc_RNA from 1 species